rnacentral:lncRNA from 1 species
GCACGGUUGCCAUCAUCAGCUAUUCGAUAUGCAACAUUCGAGAACAACAUUCGAUAUAAUUUAAGUUUGAGCAUCUAAAAUGGAAUGAGGGUGGAUAAGCGCAAAAAUGGACAUGGUGGGGAGCGUGACUGCCGGUUCCUCAGGGCUGUUCAAUUCUUUAGGAAUGCCACCUGGGAUCGUUUCACAGAGUUGUGGGGGUCGUUGAGGAUGGAUCCAGUCUGUAGCCACCACUUGGCUGUUUUUGGGCGCUGUGUCUUGUGUGCGUGGGGGGCUGUUUGCCUGAGUAGAUGUUUCCGGGGUGUAUGCAGAUCCGCUUCACCCCUAUCGUUGGUUGCACUGGCUGUGGCUUUGCGUUUCAUAAUGCG